UCGUACCCUCCCGCGUCGGACGCCGCUAGACUCGUCCAUGGCUCCAUCUCUCAUCCCAGCCUGACUCAGGCGGAGUCAUGGGUAGCAGAGAGGAGGAAGGGAGGCAGAUGAACGAUGGGGAAGGGGAUGGCAUAAUCCAAUCGCCCCGGGCCGUGCCUACACGAGUAGCGCCGCGGCUUGAUUCUUCCCUGCCUGACGAGGGGUAGGUCUUGACAAUGGCAGCCCGAGGCCGUCAGAUCCGUCACCGUCGUCGUUCUUUUGGUCGAGGAAGCCGUCGUCCACGUGCUCCUUUUCACCACCACUGCUGGACGCUGAUUUGCCCAGUUCCCAGUCCAGAUUUAAUGAAGGAAAUUGUUGUUCAUACAACGUCAAUUAUGGAUAUGGUUCCAUCUUGUUGUGCUGGACGAAGGGUUGGAUGGAAUAAGAAUUGCUUCCUCUAGGAAGAUAUAAUCAGGAGGGACCAUCUAAUAGUUGCUAAAGUUACUUCUGAACGCACUCUCUAAAGAUCGGGCUGGGCUUGACUGGGUUUUUGGAGUUCUCUUCUCGUUUCUUAGGAUCCUCAUGCUGUUUGACAAGGGGUUCCUUGCAAUGGGAAAUGUUCUCUUCGUCUCUGGUGUUUCUCUAACGAUUGGACUGAAGUCAACUUUCCAGUUCUUCACAAAGCCUAAGAAUCGCAAGGAUUGUCCAUCUUUCAGUUGGAUUAAGGUUUUCCUAUUGUCUGCAAAUGAAACGUACUUGAUGUACCUCUGGUAUGAUAAAAGAAGAGAUUGACCUUUUCUUUUGUAAAAUUUUCUGCAGACGAUGUUGUGGAGAUUGAUUUGAGAAUUUGCGUGCUUAUUAGUUCCACUACUUUUUUCUCAUUAACUGAUAUUAGACGUGGUGUAUAAAUGUUGCACCUGACUCUAUUUUUCAAGGAUAUACGAAUGAAGCUAUAGUACUUGCAAACUGUGACUCCUCUUUGCUGGACAAGGAAAGUAAAAUGAUAACCUACCAUGUAGUAAAAUUACAUGGUUGAUCUCUGUUUUGUACAUGUUAGGUGAGCAUUAUGAAAUGUUCUACUUCCCUUAAUAGAGUGUAUUUUCCUCUCAUCAAAUGCUCACUUAUAUUUCUGGAAUAAACAAAUCUUUUGUGUUGUAACAUGUUUUGAGUUUCGAUGAUUUACCAUCUGCCUUCUCCUCUGCUUUAUGUCGCUUCUCUAAAUUAUUUCUCCGGGCCACUACCAUAACUUGCUGGUUUAGUUUAGGUGUGUAGGCAGAAUUUUUCAUGUGAUUGUUUGAAACUACAACCACGUUGAAUGUGCUUUUGUUUAUUUAUCAAGGAUCGACAGUCUGAGAUGUAGUGCAUUUUGAUAUCUGAUGUUGCUGCUAUAAAAUGUGUUGCACUCUGGGCUGUGAUACCUGUACAUCUAACAGGUAGUUCAGACUUUUUCUUUCCAAGUCCUAUUGUGGAUGUACCAUUUUACUUGCGUGUGUAUGCAGGUGUUCUUUUGGCAUCAUACACUCCCCUGUGAAGUGCGUGUUUAAUCAUCAUGCAAUGGGCAUAUGGAUUUGAGGUGUAAGGUGGUGUUGGAACUGAUUGAUGCUACUGGGUUCUUCAUAUGUUUUGUUCUUGGAACGUUUGUGCCAUUAAAAAUUCAAACAAUGUAUGCGUGCUCGCUUAGCUCUAACCGUAUGCCAUGCGCUGGCUUUAGUUUGGUUAAAGAAGUCAACUCCAUUAGAGAGUUUAUAGCUUUGUACAGUGUGUACAGUUCUAGAGCUUCAUUUUUCCUAUUGCCAUGCGUGUACAGUUUCAGAGCUUCAUCACAUUGUGGUAGGGAAAGAUAGUAUGCAGAAUGUCAAAAGCUUUAUUUUUGUCCAUUAGAUAGUUUAUAGCUUUGUCACUAGAGGUAGGUUUAUAGCUUUGUCACUGGGGGUAGUUUGUCACAUAGACUACCCCUGACAAAAUAAGUUCUCCAUGCAACAUAGUUAAUUAGUGAAUCUACAGUGCAUGCUUAUUUCUGGCAGAAGCUUAGUGGAUGAAUUAGCAUUUUGUAAAGGCUGUCUAAGCUCCCUUCUCUUUUCUUCCUAUAAACUGGAAGGCUAGGAUAGGUUUCUAAAUUACCAUUUUGAACAAUGUUAACAACUUUACCAUUUCUCAUUUCUUUAUACCAUUUUGGGAUUGUUUGAGCACUAUACCAAUAUUUCGCUUUCUGCUAAAGUCAAAGAUAUUGUAUCCUUGAAUGUUUUUCAAUUGCCAAACAUGCCAAAUUCUGCAUAUUCGUCAAGGUGACACGGAUUUUGGUUUUACUUUCCGUCUGCAUCCUCUUAUAUCAUAGGCGAGAAAUCGAUUAAAAGAUUGUAUUGGUUCCGAAAUAAUGUUUUAGUGUUGAACUAUUGAUUAAUCCCCCUUGUUUUCUUUAGUCUGCGUGAUUCAAUAGAAAUGAUGUUUUAGUCAUUUUGAUAGUUAUGAAACAAAUGUCAUAGACCAUAGCUAGCUAUUAUGGAGAUGUUUCGUAGUAUUAUUUUUAUACAGAAGGGCUAAAGCUCCAAUCAUACAUGUUUGCUCAAACCUAAAGCUCCUAACUAAUGAAAAUAUUUUGAAAGCAUUUAAUGAUUUUAAAGGUACAUACAUUCUUAAACAAGAGCCUAUGUAUUUUUUGCUCAAACACAAAGUCAUUGGAAAAUGCAAAUGUUUUCAGUGUGAACAUGAUUGAUUUCAAAUGGGUCUGUGCAAACAUGGUAGCAAGUAUUUUGUGCUAUAAAAUUAAAAUAUGUAUAUACAUCUCAUCAUAGACAACAGUUCAUGAUGUUUCCUACUAAAGGGGAUUAAACCAAGGAUAUUUUUUUCAUUGCGCACAUGGAUUUAGCGUGCCUCUGCGCCAUUUGGCACAACGGGUCCACUAGUUUAAACAUAUAAUGAGGCUAGCCAACUCGUCUCCUCGGUUGUCCCUUGUUUUGCUUCAAUUUGGGCCGUUGGAUGUUGGUCAAACUGCUUCUAUUUGUGUUGGCUGAUGUUGGAUCUUCAUUGGUUUUCGUUUUGAUUGCAUGGUGAGUUCAUGGCAGACCAUGACAUGUGGGCUCGGUCUCUCAACUGAUUGGCUGGGUGAGCCUUUUUCGGUUGCCCGGGCGGCCUCUCCUGCCACGUUGGGUGGGUGCGUCCUGAGUGCUGCACGCGAUUUACGGUUCCUGCUCGCCCCUCUGAUUCGCUGGUGGGUGACGCUGUAUGUGGGCCCAUAUUCCUCUUGGUCCCGUGUGUCAGUGAAUGUUGCAUUUUUGUGUGUGCGCCGACUCAGGUUAUAGAUUUUUCCAGUCAACCGCUCUUGGCGGGACGUUCCUGGAGUGUUGCCCGCGUCGUGCAUCGUGCGUCGUGGGGAGCAGUUGCGGAGGGGUCGGCCGGUGCGUGUGCACCCGGCUUCUGCAACCGUCUUUCGCAUGCCGCGAUGACAGGUGGGCCGAAGCUACUCGUGGUCCUGCUUGUCGGCUGCACUAGAUGCGUGUCUCGUCGGGGUCGCCGCGUCGUCGUUUUCGUUCGCAUUUGGUGUUGGGGAGAGUUGUGCGGCUGACUCCUACGUUGUGCUCUGCCUGACCCCUGCGCCAUGCCGCUUCUUGUCUAAGGCAGCAAGAGUGUGCGGUGUGGGUGCCCCCAACCCAUAGGUCUCCUCGCUCCUCCCUUCCCCCUCCCCCCGGCAGCCCUAGGAGAUCUACCGUCGAUGAGAUCCAGCGCCUCCCGAGGUCCUUAUCCACCACAGCUCGCGAGGAAGCCGCGGGAGAAGGAGAUCAACCGGGAAUUCACCGGCUGGAGAAGGAGGAAAGGCGUAGAUGCCAGCCAGGGAGGCAGAUCGGCUCGCCUCCGCUGCGCCGUGAGCGCCGCCGCCACCUCUACAUCCACCUUGCUCCGCGUAGCAGCAUGUGUGCGGAAUCAUGGACAGGCGACCACGAGCAUAUGUCGUCGGCGGCAACGGCAAAACGCACGGUGUGAUGGGCGCGGCCUACCCGCAUGUAACACCCCGGAUGUAAUUUACCUUAUAUGUAUCCCAACUCUUGCCGUUUCCGGCACUAAGUUAUUUUGUUUCCCCGGG